UUUGUUUUUUUUUUGUUUUUUUUUUUUUUUUUUGUCUCGUCACGUCUUCACGAGCUCUGGGGCUCCGGAGAGGCUCGGUGAGCCGGGUUGUUGCUGCAGCAAUUGGGUUCAAAGGUGAUCGGGUUUUGUUGUUGGGCGGAGCUGCGGUGCAACAUCUCAUCUAAAUGCCUCCGGAGCGGAGUUGAUCUGGGCAACUCUAGAUUCUCAUCUUUUGGUUGUUUUUCGAAUCAGUGGGCCGAGGAGGGAUCAUCAACGGUUCACAUUCUCUCUUGAUUCUUUUUACCUGCGACAAGUUACUCUUCUUUUUGUGACCUCAUUGGUAGUGGGCAGUCAUAGCGCACAGUCCUAAUCCUUACAGCUUCGACGGUGCGAUGGAGCGUGGCUUCAAGUGCUGGAUCGUUUAUUAGUGGGAGUAGUAGAAGAUAGUUCAUUUCACAGGAGGUGGACAACAUUUGAGGAUCAUAUCAAUUUGACAUUCUGAUCGAUAUGACAUCGAGGGAUGUUCUAAGCGAUAUGGUUCAUGGCCUCUUGUUUUUUAUUAUUGUCUUUUAUUUCUACAAAGAGAAGUGUAGCUGGCGAUAGUCUCUAUUAGCAAGCAACCGUGCAGAGUGACGGCAACUAGUCUUUACUCUAGCUCUUCUGUCCAACCAACAGUGUGGGCUAUUGUAUUCUUGCGGUGCAGCGAGGUGGUCUCCCUCUUCUUAAAGGCGGCAGCAUUUUUUUCA